GGGUGGAUCAGUGGCGAACGGGUGAGUAAUACGUGAGUAACCUGCCCUUGACUCUGGGAUAAGCCUGGGAAACUGGGUCUAAUACUGGAUACUACAUAUCUUCGCAUGGGGGUGUGUGGAAAGGGUUUUACUGGUUUUGGAUGGGCUCACGGCCUAUCAGCUUGUUGGUGGGGUAAUGGCCUACCAAGGCGACGACGGGUAGCCGGCCUGAGAGGGUG
rnacentral:rRNA from 1 species